rnacentral:rRNA from 1 species
UACGUAGGGUGCGAGCGUUAAUCGGAAUUACUGGGCGUAAAGCGCGCGUAGGUGGUUUAUUAAGUUGGAUGUGAAAUCCCCGGGCUCAACCUGGGAACUGCAUCCGAUACUGGAGGGCUAGAGUGUAGGAGAGGGAGGUAGAAUUCCAUGUGUAGCAGUGAAAUGCGUAGAUAUCUGGAGGAACACCAAUGGCGAAGGCAGCUUACUGGACGACAACUGACGCUGAGGCACGAAAGCGUGGGUAGCGAAAGGG